AGGGUAGUGAUGGAAUUGGUAUACAUGGGUAGUUUAGAGCUACUUGGAUUUAAAAAUCUUAUCCGUUCAAGUCGGAUUUACCUUA
rnacentral:tRNA from 1 species